CAAGAAUAGAGACUAGGGCCAUGCUCAAGAAUGUUCUUGAAGGGAAAUUGAAGAUUUGUGUUUACGAAGGUAUAUGAGCUGCUGGAAUUUUUGUUGAAGUUGGAAAUUUGGUGGAAAUACACACGGUGAAUCAGGUGAAU